AUUCUUGCUACGGCGGAUCCAGCAACUGAUCGAGUAUUCGUGCGUUUCAGUCAGUUGACAGUGGUUUGUGGGUGUUCUCGAUCUUUGAGGUUAGGGCAGGAGAAUCCAAGUUCGGAUGGCGUAGAUUCGAAACAGGAAUGGACAGAAAUGCAGGACUUACAAAGAACAAAUCAUGGAAUGUUCUUUGCAUUCGUCUUACCGUAAUUACCUGCUUUGAUUAACGCAGCAGUUCUGAGUAAAAGACACGAAAGGACAUCUGUAGGGCGGAGGUAACAUCACCAUAUCAAUGAUUUGCUGUUUUUCACUUGGAGUGACGUCUCCCUUAUAUUCAUGGAGCACGUUACAACACCUAACUCUUUGAACGAAUGAACGACAUAAGGCGACUCUCAGAACAGCCUUCCACAGUGACGCAUCUCGUCUCGUGUCGGCCGGAAUGGAACAAAAGUUUAUAAUAAUUACUCAUCAUUCUACCGUUCGACAUAACCGAGGCAGUUGAAACAGCGUCGUUUCGUAAGUAAAGAAUCAAUUGGCUCUCGAUUCGACAUAAUCCAGGUAAUCAAAACAGCGUCGAUAGGCAAAUCAAGAAUCGACGGGCCCUCAAUUCGAGAAAAUCGAAGUAAACGAAACAGCGUCGAUAGGCAAAUCAAGAAUCGACGGGCCUUCCAUUCGAGAAAAUCGAAGAAAGCAACCGCUUCGUUAAGGAGAUCAAGAAUCGAUUUUCCGCCAAUCAGACGCUUCUAUCCCUCCAGUACAAACAGAGCCAUGAACCACGGUGUUGUAGAAAGUACUUACACAUGCCUGCCAGCCCACACCCAUUGCAACGCGCCAAAUUCAUCGCGUGUGAGUCGUAAUUACAUCUAUAGAAACAUGAAGAAUCAUAGCGUGGGUUUGGGGUUUCAACCCGUGAUUUGCACGGUUAAAUCAGACGUUACAGUCAUCUACUACCAGACUGAAGUAUUGAGAACUCUUAACACACAACAC